rnacentral:tRNA from 1 species
AUUAAAGUGCCUGAAAAAGGAUUAUUUUGAUAGAAUAAACCAUGUAUAUACCUUUAAAUAUACCUUUAAUA